CCUACGGGAGGCAGCAGUGGGGAAUAUUGGACAAUGGGGGGAACCCUGAUCCAGCCAUGCCGCGUGUGUGAAGAAGGCCCUCGGGUUGUAAAGCACUUUCAGUGAGGAAGAACGCCUGGUGGUUAAUACCCAUCAGGAAAGACAUCACUCACAGAAGAAGCACCGGCUAACUCCGUGCCAGCAGCCGCGGUAAUACGGAGGGUGCGAGCGUUAAUCGGAAUUACUGGGCGUAAAGCGCGCGUAGGUGGCUUGAUAAGCCGGUUGUGAAAGCCCCGGGCUCAACCUGGGAACGGCAUCCGGAACUGUCAAGCUAGAGUGCAGGAGAGGAAGGUAGAAUUCCCGGUGUAGCGGUGAAAUGCGUAGAGAUCGGGAGGAAUACCAGUGGCGAAGGCGGCCUUCUGGACUGAUACUGACACUGAGGUGCGAAAGCGUGGGUAGCAAACAGGAUUAGAUACCCCUGUAGUC
rnacentral:rRNA from 1 species